UACGGAGGAUGCAAGCGUUAUCCGGAAUGAUUGGGCGUAAAGCGUCCGCAGGUGGCUGUGUAAGUCUGCUGUUAAAGCGUGAGGCUCAACCUCAUAAAGGCAGUGGAAACUACAUGGCUAGAGUGCGUUCGGGGCAGAGGGAAUUCCUGGUGUAGCGGUGAAAUGCGUAGAGAUCAGGAAGAACACCGGUGGCGAAAGCGCUCUGCUAGGCCGCAACUGACACUGAGGGACGAAAGCUAGGGGAGCGAAUGGG
rnacentral:rRNA from 1 species